AUAAAAUCUUGCGAUCAAGCCCUGGAGUUUUAUCGGGCAACAUGCCCUCUGCUUAUCUUGUCUUGCUCGUCCGAUAAAUAUUUUACACAUUUGCUUGGUGGACGUGGAGAUUUAUGUCUGUUCACAAAAAACAAUUUUGUUCAUGAGAGGUGUUGGGGGUACCUUUCACAGGAGAGAUAGGACAUUUGCUGGAGGGGUUUGAGUCCCUGUCACAAUCUCUGCCGGUUGUGGAGUGUGUUGUGGGAUUAUUCUCACCUGGAACAACAUUAAGACCACCAAGAAAAGCUAGAAAACUUGACAGCCAUGUCUAACUUCCUCAAUCUCUUCAAUCAACUACACGAUUGUAAAUUCAAUUUCAGCGAUACCACAAACGAAUGUACCGACAAAGUCAACUACAGACAUUUUUAUCUCUUCAAUUUGAUACCAGCAAUGGUCAUAACCCUUCUGUUUGGGCUCACGAAGAAAAGGAGAAGUGUUUUACCCGCGAUUCUGAAUGGCCGACCUGGUGUUGUGUACGCUAUGAACUCCCUGACACGUCACUCUAAAAUGUCCUACGCAUGCGCAUUUGGGGCUGCUGCACACGUGGUGCAUGUGAUUGUCAUCAACGGCGACAGCAUCAUCGAAUACAACGGGCACAGAGCUGGCAAAGCGUUUAUUAAUAUAAUUGCCACGUUCCUAUACGGAAUGACCUUUCUGCCAGUCUUUGUCAGUCUCACCAUGGGAUCCAUCUUCGGGUACGGGGUGGGAUCCUUGUAUGUGUGGAUGCUGACUGCCAUCGAAAUCUUUCGACUUGCGCAGUGCGAGACUAACUUUGAAGGCAGAGUGCUUCUGGUUUUCCGCAACUUACCUCCCCUUCUGUGCCUGCUGUACCUGAGCAUCUCCCUCCCACUCCGCUUUGUGCGUUUUGUCCGCAAUCACCGCCCUUGGUUUGAGUGGACCAAUGAGCCAUCUGAGGUCUUGGAAAACCUGGACGAAAUUCGGAAAUCGUAUGACGGAAGUUAUGUCGGAGGAAUCUUGUCUAAACCAGUGUCCAAAACAGUGAGAGUCCCAGAGGGAAGAAAGGAAAUGAUAAAAGCAAACUUCAUACGGCUGAUUAAGAAAUAUAUUUACAAGAGAAAGAGAGGUUAUCAAUACCCGUCAAGGCUCUUGUCUGUUCUACUGGUAACUUCUGUGGUGAUUUAUACUAUUGCCUACCAAGUGAUGGCACUAUUGGUACAGCUGCUAAGGAAAACAGAAGAAUGCAUCCCGAUAGCAUUCUACUUUUGGGAGGACAUUAUCAAUCCAUUUCUGAAAACAAUCGAAGUUUUUCGUGUGAGUGUGAUAUUGGCCACAACGACAGCUUUGGUGUUGUUCAUCUUCUCUGCCUGCGGCCUGCUGACCAGCUACAGAACCCAUGCUCUUGAAAUGUACAAAGGAAACUCUGUCAAGAUUCAUCUGAGUGUAGAAAGUAGCCCCGUCAAAGACUGUGUGAACUAUAUCAAGUACGGGGGAUUCCAAGCCGCUUACAUGAUAUGGGCUUUUAUGAUCCAGUGGCUUGUUUUCUUCUUGGUUUUCUUUUUGGUGGGAAUCUUAAUAAAGUUCUUCGAUGUAAACCUCAUCAAAGAAUUUGUUAACUGGACCUGGCCCUACUUGCUGACAUUUGUUGUUAUCAACAUAACAAUAUGGCUGCUGUCGGCGUUCUUCUUCCUGCAAGACAGAGGAGAGCAUCUUGCCCUCGACAAUAGGUGCGUAUGUGUCGGCGCAAGGUGCUUGAGUGCGUGAGGUCAGCAAGAGAAAACAACAGCGAAGUCGUUUAAAUCCUUUCUGUCCACAACAGUAACACAGAGGGUGGUUCUUCAAUUGCGUGUAUUUUUUCACCUUCUACUUCUUGUUCCUUGGUUUGUUCUCCUGCGUUUUGCGCAUGCUCACCUCCAUGGUGCUAGGA
rnacentral:misc_RNA from 1 species